GGAGCGGCGGACGGGUUAGUAACGCGUGGGAACAUACCCAACUCUAAGGAAUAGCCACUGGAAACGGUGAGUAAUACCUUAUACGCCCUUCGGGGGAAAGAUUUAUCGGAGAUGGAUUAGCCCGCGUAAGAUUAGAUAGUUGGUGGGGUAAUGGCCUACCAAGUCUACGAUCUAUAGCUGGUUUGAGAGGAUGAUCAGCAACACUGGGACUGAGACACGGCCCAGACUCCUACGGGAGGCAGCAGUGGGGAAUCUUAGACAAUGGGCGCAAGCCUGAUCUAGCGAUGCCGCGUGAGUGAUGAAGGCCUUAGGGUCGUAAAGCUCUUUCGCCAGGGAUGAUAAUGACAGUACCUGGUAAAGAAACCCCGGCUAACUCCGUGCCAGCAGCCGCGGUAAUACGGAGGGGGUUAGCGUUGUUCGGAAUUACUGGGCGUAAAGCGUACGUAGGCGGAUUAGUAAGUAUGGGGUGAAAUCCCAGGGCUCAACCCUGGAACUGCCUCAUAAACUGCUAGUCUUGAGUUCGAGAGAGGUGAGUGGAAUUCCAAGUGUAGAGGUGAAAUUCGUAGAUAUUUGGAGGAACACCAGUGGCGAAGGCGGCUCACUGGCUCGAUACUGACGCUGAGGUACGAAAGUGUGGGGAGCAAACAGGAUUAGAUACCCUGGUAGUCCACACCGUAAACGAUGAAUGCCAGACGUCGG
rnacentral:rRNA from 1 species